CUCUGUCCAGAUAGCAUGCACGUCUAGUACAAACUAAAUGAUGGUGAAACUGCAAAUGGCUCAUUACAACGGUUAUGAUGUACCCGGGAGUUCCGAUGGAUAUUUCCAGUAACACUAGAACUAAUACAUGUCCCUGCGUUUAUUAGUUUCGCACAGUCCGUCGCUGAGUCAUGGUAAACAGUUGAUCGACUCGACGUCCCGGAACAGUUUCCGCCCCAUCAGCUUCGAUGGUUGGGUAUUGGCCUACCAUUGCAACAACGGGUAACGAGGAAUUAGGGUUUGAUUUCGGAGAGGGAGCCUGAGAAACGGCUACCACAUCUACGGAUGGCAGCAGGCGCGCAAAUUACCCAAUGCAGACACUGUGAGGUAGUGACGAGAAAUAAUAAAGCGGGACUUCUGUUUCGCUAUUAUAAUGAGGAAUAACCAAAGGUCAUUCCGAUUAGCAACUGAUGGGAAAGUCUGGUGCCAGCAGCCGCGGUAAUACCAGCGUCAGUAGCAUA
rnacentral:rRNA from 1 species